rnacentral:sRNA from 1 species
AAUGAAUUGUAAUCGGAGUUGAUGCUGGCAGCUUGGCUGCAUGUGCUCACUCCUAACAAUCUUCAUCCAAACACCUGUGCACAUUUAGAGAGGGUCUCUGAGUUCUCCUUGGAGUCCCUUCCUCUCAUUAUACACUUUAUUUUAAUAUUGAACGUGAUUGUGCCGUGAGGCCUUAAUAUUAAUACAACUUUUAACAACGGAUCUCUUGGCUCUCGCAUCGAUGAAGAACGCAGCGAAAUGCGAUAAGUAAUGUGAAUUGCAGAAUUCAGUGAAUCAUCGAAUUUUUGAACGCACCUUGCGCUCCCUGGUAUUCCGGGGAGCACGCCUGUUCGAGUGUCGUGAAAUUCUCAAACUGAGAUGCUUUUUUGUUUCUCGGCUUGGUGUUGGGCUUUGCAGUCCCCUUUGAUUGGGAUGGCUGGCCUCAAAAGCAUUAGCUGGCUUUUCAUGUGGCAUUGGUUCUACUCAGCGUGAUAAUGAUCUGACCGCCGAGGACAUCUUUCGAGAUGGCCAAUUCUCAUUUGGGCUGCUUCUAAUCUUGGUCGAGCAGAUUCUGAAUCUGUUCCACUUUUCAACUUUUGACCUCGA